GAUCUUGCACAAUGGAGGAAACUCUGAUGCAGCGAUGCCGCGUGAGUGAAGAAGGCCUUUGGGUUGUAAAGCUCUUUCGUCGGGGAAGAAAAUGACUGUACCCGAAUAAGAAGGUCCGGCUAACUUCGUGCCAGCAGCCGCGGUAAUACGAAGGGACCUAGCGUAGUUCGGAAUUACUGGGCUUAAAGAGUUCGUAGGUGGUUGAAAAAGUUGGUGGUGAAAUCCCAGAGCUUAACUCUGGAACUGCCAUCAAAACUUUUCAGCUAGAGUAUGAUAGAGGAAAGCAGAAUUUCUAGUGUAGAGGUGAAAUUCGUAGAUAUUAGAAAGAAUACCAAUUGCGAAGGCAGCUUUCUGGAUCAUUACUGACACUGAGGAACGAAAGCAUGGGUAGCGAAGAGGAUUAGAUACCCUCGUAGUCCAUGCCGUAAACGAUGUGUGUUAGACGUUGGAAAUUUAUUUUCAGUGUCGCAGCGAAAGCGAUAAACACACCGCCUGGGGAGUACGACCGCAAGGUUAAAACUCAAAUGAAUUGACGGGGACCCGCACAAGUAGUGGAGCAUGUGGUUUAAUUCGAAGAUACGCGCAGAACCUUACCAACACUUGACAUGUUCGUCGCGACUUUAAGAGAUUAAAGUUUUCGGUUCGGCCGGACGAAACACAGGUGCUGCAUGGCUGUCGUCAGCUCGUGUCGUGAGAUGUUGGGUUAAGUCCCGCAACGAGCGCAACCCUCACUUUUAGUUGCCAUCAUUAAGUUGGGCACUCUGAAAGAACUGCCAGUGAUAAGCUGGAGGAAGGUGGGGAUGACGUCAAGUCCUCAUGGCCCUUACGUGUUGGGCUACACACGUGCUACAAUGGUAUCUACAACAGGAAGCAAAACUGCGAAGUUAAGCAAAUCCUUAAAAGAUACCUCAGUUCGGAUUGCACUCUGCAACUCGAGUGCAUGAAGCUGGAAUUACUAGUAAUCGUGGAUCAGCGUGCCACGGUGAAUGCGUUCCCGGGUCUUGUACACACCGCCCGUCACACCAUGGGAGUUGGUUCUACCUUAAGGCAAGGUUUCAAACCCUUGACCACGGUAUAGUCAGCGACUGGGGUGAAGUCGUAACAAGGUAGCCGUAGGGGAACCUGCGGCUG
rnacentral:rRNA from 1 species